rnacentral:rRNA from 1 species
GGAUUGUUCUCGUAGCUUGCUAUGAGAACAAUUAGUGGCAGACGGGUGAGUAAUGCAUAGGAAUCUACCUAGUAGUAUAGGAUAGCCACUAGAAGUGGUGGGUAAUACUGUAUAAUCCCUGCGGGGGAAAGAUUUAUCGCUACAUGAUGAGCCUAUGUUAGAUUAGCUAGUUGGUGGGGUAAUGGCCUACCAAGGCAGUGAUCUAUAGCUGGUCUGAGAGGAUGAUCAGCCACACUGGAACUGAGACACGGUCCAGACUCCUACGGGAGGCAGCAGUGGGGAAUAUUGGACAAUGGGCGCAAGCCUGAUCCAGCUAUGCCGCGUGAGUGAGGAAGGCCUUAGGGUUGUAAAACUCUUUCAGUGGGGAAGAUAAUGACGGUACCCACAGAAGAAGUCCCGGCAAACUCCGUGCCAGCAGCCGCGGUAAUACGGAGGGGGCAAGCGUUGUUCGGAAUUAUUGGGCGUAAAGGGCAUGUAGGUGGUUUGGUAAGUUAAAGGU